rnacentral:rRNA from 1 species
GUGUCAGCAGCCGCGGUAAGACAGAGGUGGCAAGCGUUGUUCGGUAUCACUGGGCUUAAAGCGUGUGUAGGCGGAAGCGUAAGCAUUUUGUGAAAUCCCCCGGCUCAACCGGGGCAUGGCUUGAUGUACUGCGCUUCUUGAGGCAGGUAGGGGUGCGAGGAACUCUUGGUGGAGCGGUGGAAUGCGUAGAUAUCAAGAGGAACGCCGAUGGUGAAGACAUCGCACUAGGCCUGUCCUGACGCUGAGACACGAAAGCGUGGGGAGCAAACGGGAUUAGAUACCCUCGUAGUCC